rnacentral:rRNA from 1 species
AACGAACGCUGGCGGCGUGGAUAAGACAUGCAAGUCGAACGGGCUGUAGCAAUACAGUCAGUGGCGCAAGGGUGCGUAACACGUGGGGAAUCUGCCGAGAAGUGGGGGAUAGCUCGCCGAAAGGCGAAUUAAUACCGCAUGUGACUAGGAGCGACAUCUCUCCGACGUCAAAGCCGGGGCAACCUGGCGCUUCUUGAUGACCCCGCGGCCUAUCAGCUAGUUGGCGAGGGAACGGCUCACCAAGGCAUUGACGGGUAGCUGGUCUCAGAGGACGACCAGCCACACUGGAACUGAGACACGGUCCAGACACCUACGGGUGGCAGCAGUCGAGAAUUUUUCUCAAUGGGGGAAACCCUGAAGGAGCGACGCCGCGUGGAGGAUGAAGGUCUUCGGAUUGUAAACUCCUGUCAUUUGAGAACAAUAAGUCACCAGUAACUACGGUGGCCUUGAUAGUAUCAGAAGAGGAAGAGACGGCUAACUCUGUGCCAGCCGCCGCGGUAAUAC